CAGAUUGUAGGCUGCAACUCGCCUAUAUGAAGUUGGAAUUGCUAGUAAUCGCGGAUCAGCAUGCCGCGGUGAAUACGUUCCCGGGCCUUGUACACACCGCCCGUCACACCAUGAGAGCCGGUAAUACCCGAAGUCAGUAUCCUAACCGCAAGGGGGGAGCUGCCGAAGGUAGGAUUGGCGAUUGGGGUGAAGUCGUAACAAGGUAGC
rnacentral:rRNA from 1 species